rnacentral:SRP_RNA from 1 species
GGCCGGGUCUCAUGCUAUGCAGCGCUGCCAACCCCGUCAGGCCCGGGAGGGAGCAGCGGUGCGCAGUACGCUGCAUGUGUAUGAACAGGCCCGGCCCAC